GGGGUGUACAUCCUGGGGAUGUAGAGGGCACACUGGGGUCGGGUCCCCGGAGACCAUUCAGCUCAACAGAAGGGACAAUGUUCUGUACUGAGCGGGUGGCAUCCCCUCUGAUAAUUGCAGAUGCAUUCGAGACAGUUGGGGUGAAGGUUCAACUCGGAAAUGCCAAGAGAGCAAGCCAGACCCAUUUCCCAGGUGACCCAUGGACCCCCGCCUCACUCGUGCAUGCAGGCGCAGCCGCGGGGCAGAUGAGGUGGCCCUGUGUUAGAGCAUGAUGGUUUGUAUGGGACGGAGGUGGUGGUUGGGCUGGUGGCUGUCUGUCCUCCCUGAAGCCCUGGGGCACGUUGGGAUGCUGGAACCCGGGUGUGGGCAGAGCUCUCCAGUUCCGUCUGCAGCCGGCAUGCUGUGGGCACAGCCCCGGGGACUCAGCGGCCGCUGGAGAAAGUCACGUAGAAGCAGAGACAGGUCCGCUCCACGCUCGUGAUCGCCGACCUGACGGGCUCUUGGCACCGACCAGGGACCUCAGUUCAGCUCAGAGAGACAAUUUCAAACCUCUUCUCUCCUCGGAACCCUCACUAGACAGCCCCGUUCCUGCUUUUACUGAACACAUGACGGCUGUAAGAUGGAAAGACGUCAAUGACAAUGCCCAGAACAGAAACCCGACUGAUGGUGACGAGCCAGUAAAACUGGCAGGGCACGGGACUGGGGGGGGGGGGGGGGUCGUCACCGGCAGUGAGUAGACUGGGGCAUAAUGGUGACAAGAAUGGACUUUGUUACUGGCAUUGAAUUCCCUCCUGGAAAUUCACCCCUCGCUGCCUUCACGCAGGGCAGGCUGCCCCUCUCACCCCGCCCCUGGAUACCACCGAGCGCAGGCUUUAAUGAGACCGCACACUGGUCUCAACGGGAGCAGCCCCACCUUCCGUGAGGCAGCCCGGUGGCUCUGCCAGCCGGCUUGCAUUUCCUUUUCCUCAGCCUGCUUGCCUCACGAACACAAAAUAGCUGCCACAGCCCCAGAGCUGACACUCUCCUGCAGUGAGAUUUAAGGCAGGAGAAGGGGACCAAGCGGAAAAGUGGUUUCCUCUGUCGGGGUAAAUUUUCUAGAAUCUAUCAGCACACUUCCUCAUGAAUGUAACCGGCUUUGCUCAAGACAAGUUUGAAACAGUACAUGUCCGGCGAUGGGAAAUAGAGUCCUGUUGUAAGGAUUGGCUUAAAUAAACCAUGAUUUAUUCCUUGGGGCUGGGCA
rnacentral:lncRNA from 1 species